GAUUCAGACAGUUGCGCAUAUCGCCCCAGGCGAUCCCGCCUUCCGAGCGGCGAAUACGGCCAGUUGACCCUCCGUUAUCUGUGGUAGUCACAAUGCCGGUCAGGCGCGAACCUAAUGAAGAAAGCGAGGAGAGGACGCGUCCUAAUCCAUGCCCUCCGCCGAGGGCAACGACACGAUCAAGGUCAGCCAGCGUACGAUUGCGCAUAAAAAUUCCUGAAGUCAAAUAAGCAGCGCUACAGUAGCGCAAGUCGCGGGUUUUCAGCAAUUAGCCGACCGGCUAAAAGACAAUUAAUUAUUCCCGACUACCCCUUUAUAGCGAGGGCGUUACCACGGCUAAAUGAUAUAUAUCAAUGUAAAAGUGUGAUUU
rnacentral:misc_RNA from 1 species